UCAAACAAACAAUAAAAUUCUUAAAGAAAUAUUAGAAUGAUGACAAAUAUUACUCAAAUAUAUGUCAAUUCAACCUUAAUUUAAUUCUAGUUAAAAUCCUAAUGAAUUUCACUCAAACUUUAGACCAAACCUAAUUAAAUCUUAAAUCCUAAUAAAUCCUAAAUCCUAAGUCAAAUCCUAAACAAACCUUAAAUUAAACCCUAAAUCAAACCCUAUUUCAAACCCUAAACCCUAAACUAAACCUUAAAUCAAACCCUAAUCCAAACCCUAAAUCAAACCCUAACUAAAUCCUAAACCCUAAUCCAAACCCUAAUCCAAACCCUAAUCCAAAUCCUAACCAAAUCCUAAACCCUAACCAAAUCCUAAUCUAAUCCUAAAUCCUAACCAAACCCUAAUCCAAUCCUAAAACCUAAUCAAAUCUUAAACCCUAAUCCAAAACCUAAACCCUAACCAAACCCUAAAUCCUAAUCCAAAUCCUAAACUCUAAAUCAAAUCCUAAAUCGAACCCUAGCCAAACCCUAAUCCAAAUCCUAGAAAUUCCUAUGACAGAUUUAAACCUCAAUAUCUAAUGAAUAAACCGUUGAUCUUAAUUCAAAAUUUGCAUACUUCUUAAAAAUCAAGUUUAAAACAAGCACAAAAAAAUUUGAAAAGGAUCGGAGUUACAAAAUUGAUGAAAACCUCAAAAAUGUGUCCGGGUGUUAGAUGGCCUCCUUCUCCAAUCUUGAUGUCAACCUUCUAGAGCCAAUUUCUCUUCUUUGCACCGUUCGAUUGGUUUCAAAUUUCUCACGGACAUAGAAAAACAAGUCUAAUACCCUCUCACACAAGUUUUACUCCAAUCCAACUAGUAAAUUGCAUGAAAUCUUAAAAACCGUCACUAGACCUAAAAUUCUACUUUUUGAGACCUUGACUCGCUUAAACCUCAAUAUCUCUUACU
rnacentral:lncRNA from 1 species